rnacentral:misc_RNA from 1 species
UCCGGUUUGGCACCGGCAGUCUCCGAUGAGUCCCCGGCAUUACCCGCUGGCAACAUCGGACAGGGGUUGCGCUCGUUGUGCCACUUAAGGCAACAUCUCACGACACGAGCUGACGACAGCCAUGCAGCACCUGUCUUGGGACUCCGAAGAGGGGCCGUGGUUUCUCACGGCUUUCCCCAAGAUGUCAAGCCCAGGUAAGGUUCUUCGCGUUGCAUCGAAUUAAAGAACAUGCUCCGCUGCUUGUGCGGGCCCCCGUCAAUUCUUUUGAGUUUUAGCCUUGCGGCCGUACUCCCCAGGCGGAACACUUAUCGCGUUAGCUGCGGCACAGAGGGAUUCGACUCCCCCCACACCUAGUGUUCAUCGUUUACGGCUAGGACUAC